rnacentral:rRNA from 1 species
GUCUUUUAGAGAUUAAUUUAAAGUCUAACCUGCCCAAUGAUAAUUUUAAUGGCCGCAGUAUUUUGACUGUGCAAAGGUAGCAUAAUAAUUUGUUUCUUAAUUAGAAACUGGAAUGAAGGGUUGGACGAGAAAAUAACUGUCUUUUAUUUAAUUUUUUUGAAUUUUAUUUUUAAGUUAAAAAGCUUAGAUAUAAUUAAAAGACGAGAAGACCCUAUAGAGUUUUAUUUAUUAUUAAUUUAUAAUUAAUAUAGAAUUAUUUUAAUGUAAUUUAUUAAUAAAUUUGAUUGGGGUGAUUAAAAAAUUUAAUAAACUUUUUUUAUAUUAAAUCAUUGAUUUAUGUAUUUUUGAUCCAUUAUUAGUGAUUAUAAGAUUAAAUUACCUUAGGGAUAACAGCGUAAUUUCUUUUUAGAGUUCUAAUCGAUAAAGAAGUUUGCGACCUCGAUGUUGGAUUAAAAUAAAUAAUUGGUGUAGAAGCUGAUUAAUUAGGUCUGUUCGACCUUUAAAAUUUUACA